AAUAUUUGACAAUGGGGGCAACCCUGAUCCAGCCAUGCCGCGUGUGUGAAGAAGGNCCNNGGAUUNUNAAGCCCUUUAAGUAGNNNNNAAGGGCUUUAGGCUAAUACCCUGAAGGUUUGACGUUCCCAACAGAAUAACCACCGGCUAACUCUGUGCCCGCAGCCGCGGUAAUACAGAGGGUGCAAGCGUUAAUCGGAAUUACUGGGCGUAAAGCGCGCGUAGGUGGUUCAGUAAGAUGGGUGUGAAAUCCCCGGGCUUAACCUGGGAACUGCUUUCAUAACUGCUGAGCUAGAGUACGGUAGAGGGUAGUGGAAUUUCCUGUGUAGCGGUGAAAUGCGUAGAUAUAGGAAGGAACACCAGUGGCGAAGGCGACUACCCGGACUGAUACUGACACUGAGGUGCGAAAGCGUGGGGAGCAAAC
rnacentral:rRNA from 1 species